rnacentral:lncRNA from 1 species
CUGAAAUCCUGAAGGAUGAAACUAGUCUGUGAGCCCAAGGAGUUUGGGAACCACUUCCUAGAGCAUGUCUCAAAGAUAGCCAACCUCCUGGUUUAAAGACCUCCACAUGAAUAACUUGAGUUUGCCAUAAAGCACUAGUUACUUUUUGCAGGAAUUUUUGAUAGUUUAUUUCCUGAAAACCCAAGUCUUUUCACAAAAAUAAAGUUAAGGUUUUUAAAAAUUUGAAAAAUGGUUUGACGACAAACUCUGAGGUGGUUCUUGAAUGAAACAUCGAUUUUGGUCUAAGUUAUUUAUUUUCACAGUUCAAGAGUUGUCUUUUAGUUCUAGUUUGGAUUUUUCUUAUGCCACCUUCCAACUACCGGAUCUUGUUAUGCCUUUGUCUGUUAACUUGGAGAGAGACCUUCUUUUCUGGGUAGGUACUUGACUUAAAAACUAAGGUCUUUUUCUGCACUCAGUCUUGUCCCCACCCCCAUCUGUGAAGCAACGAUGAAGCCUAUAUGAACACUAAAAUAUAAAACCUUGGCUUUCCUGUGUCUGAGAUGAGUCAGAACUUCCUGAUUAUUGCCAGCUCUCACAAACUGCUUCUCUGUAAGUAACACCAUAAGAAUUGCAAUUCAAGUGUAAUACGAGUGAAAGUACUAUAGAUUGAAUUCUAUAGUCUCUUACAGCUUUCAGCAUCAGGGCUCUGAGUGUACCAACCAGACAGUACUUCAUACUGUCUCUAUGGAGUGACCUCAGUAGCGUCCCCCGUCUUCUGAAUGGAAUCAAAGUAGGCUGGGAUUGUAGGUAACCAAAAGAUUUGGAAUGGCAGUGACUCACAACUGUUCACACUUGGAAAGAUGCACUUUUCCCAGCUCAUUUAUGGCUUGUCCCAUGAAGCCACGGGAAUGCUGGGAGAAGGACUGCCCAAGAAGAGACUGGAGCCCCGAGUCUCCCCUUGCUUGCACUGAGGGCAAAGUUGGCCCCACAUUUUGCCAUGAAUUUGAUAUUUUCACCCAUGGUUUUCCUCAUUGGAGUACUGAAUAUGACCUGGAGGAUAUGUGUUGAUGGUCCUAGAGAGACACCAGUCAGAUUUGGGAAAUUACUUCUUCUCACGGAGAAAACGAAAAAUGAGGUUUGAUUUUCUUUUUACUAUUGCUUUGCUUCAAAAGUAUUGCCUUAUAAUUUAACACAUCUGAAUUUUUUCUAUGCAGGAAACAUGUUGCUUCGGUUUUAGUCAAUGAGUGAAAACUUCUAAAUAAUCUAAAGGGUUACCAUAGGUGUAAUGAGACCACCCGGGUGGUUGAUGUGCUUCUUGGAAAGCAGUCGAAACAUUAUAGAAUGGUCCAUGAGAUGAAAGGAAUAUGGCAAUGCGGCCAUUGGCAGUUGGAUAGAGGUACUGAAUAGUGGGUGGUAUCAAUACUGAUUAAAUGGGUGGAGUUAUGAACUGAUGAGGGAAAAGGCUCUACUCAUUAACAAAAUCUUGAAGGUG